rnacentral:rRNA from 1 species
UACGUAGGGGGCAAGCGUUGUCCGGAAUCAUUGGGCGUAAAGCGCGUGUAGGCGGCCCGAUAAGUCCGCUGUGAAAGUCCAGGGCUCAACCCUGGAAUGCCGGUGGAUACUGUCGGGCUCGAGUCCGGAAGAGGCGAGUGGAAUUCCUGGUGUAGCGGUGAAAUGCGCAGAUAUCAGGAAGAACACCUAUGGCGAAAGCAGCACUCUGGGACGGUACUGACGCUGAGACGCGAAAGCGUGGGGAGCGAACAGG